rnacentral:tRNA from 1 species
UGCCCCAUGGCUGAGUUGGUUACAGCGUCCGACUGUUACUUCCAGUGACUAAAAAUCGGAAGGUCGUGAGUUCGAGCCUCACUGGGGCAG